rnacentral:rRNA from 1 species
GCGGUGGAUGAUGUGGUUUAAUUCGAUGCAACGCGAAAAACCUUACCCACCUUUGACAUGUACGGAAGAUCGCAGAGACGCGAUUGUGCUCGAAAGAGAGCCGUAACACAGGUGCUGCAUGGCUGUCGUCAGCUCGUGUCGUGAGAUGUUGGGUUAAGUCCCGCAACGAGCGCAACCCUUGCCAUUAGUUGCUACAUUCAGUUGGGCACUCUAAUGGGACUGCCGGUGACAAACCGGAGGAAGGUGGGGAUGACGUCAAGUCCUCAUGGCCCUUAUAGGUGGGGCUACACACGUCAUACAAUGGCUGGUACAAAGGGUUGCCAACCCGCGAGGGGGAGCUAAUCCCAUAAAGCCAGUCGUAGUCCGGAUCGUAGUCUGCAACUCGACUACGUGAAGUCGGAAUCGCUAGUAAUCGUGGAUCAGAAUGUCACGGUGAAUACGUUCCCGGGUCUU